UGCUUUAUUUUUUAACCGUACCUAACACAAAAUUAAUGUAAUUCAGCUGUGAGGAUGGAGAGAAAGAAGAGAAGAUGACAAAAGAAGAAUCAGGACAAACAGGGGAAAGCAAGAGUGGAGAACGGCACAGACAAGGGGUGAAGGAGACAGACAUGAGAUCAGUGAUAGAAGGGACAAGUAAUGACAUCAGGAAAAUUAGUGCAGGCAGACAUG